GUCAAAAGCAAGUUUGAGAUGGAUCUGGACAAAUUUUUGAUACCAAAGAAUAAAUCUCAUGUAUACCUGGUUACUUAAGUAUUAUAUAAUGCAAUUCCAUUAAAUAAGUAGAUCAUUCCACUUAUUCUGCAGGUAGGGGUUUGGGUACUACAAGUUGUAAGGGGGUCUACGGUGAGGCCAAGUUUAGACAUGGACAAUCUUAUAAAGUUGUUUCACGGUGAUUAA
rnacentral:lncRNA from 1 species